GAUGAACGCUGGCGGCGUGCCUAACACAUGCAAGUCGGACGGUGAAAGAAGACGGAAGCCUUCGGGCGGAAGUUUUUUGGAUCAGUGGCGGACGGGUGAGUAACGCGUGGAUAACCUGCCUCAUACAGGGGGAUAACAGGGAGAAAUCACUGCUAAUACCGCAUAAGCGCACAGGAUCGCAUGGUCUGGUGUGAAAAACUCCGGUGGUAUGAGAUGGAUCCGCGUCCGAUUAGCCAGUUGGCGGGGUAACGGCCCACCAAAGCGACGAUCGGUAGCCGGCCUGAGAGGGUGAACGGCCACAUUGGGACUGAGACACGGCCCAAACUCC
rnacentral:rRNA from 1 species